rnacentral:rRNA from 1 species
AAGAUGGCGACCGGCGCACGGGUGAGUAACACGUAUCCAACCUGCCGAUAACUCCGGGAUAGCCUUUCGAAAGAAAGAUUAAUACCCGAUGGUAUAAUCAGACCGCAUGGUCUUGUUAUUAAAGAAUUUCGGUUAUCGAUGGGGAUGCGUUCCAUUAGGCAGUUGGUGAGGUAACGGCUCACCAAACCUUCGAUGGAUAGGGGUUCUGAGAGGAAGGUCCCCCACAUUGGAACUGAGACACGGUCCAA